UCUUGGCUGAAACGUGAAUUGGAAUGAGUUGAACUUUCGUAACUUUACUGUACAUGGAGGUUACGUGAGAGAAACCGCUGGAGCAAACUCAGUGUUUUGCUUCCUGGUCUGUUCCAUUGAGCAACGUUAGUCUCACCAUCGGGGACGUACUCCACCGCCGUGACCACAGACCCGCGGAGGUGGAUGGAGCCCAGAGGUUCAUCCCCCUGACACGACCAGGCGGAAGGAUUCAGAGCGUUAGUCCUAGUCUCAGCACAUCCUCGUCGCUGGAGUAGCCCUCGCAGAAGAAGCCGCUGUCGGCCUGUCACAGAUCACAUCGUCCUUUCAUAAUGGUGCUCGGACCCGCGUGGCCGCCGCGUUCCGGUACACUUACAAAGUAGUAGAGCGCGCUGGUGUCGUCGAGGAAGGCCGUCUGCUCCCCGCCCUCGGCGCCCUCCUUCGCCCGGUCCCCGGCUGGCUGCAGGAACCCCUCGUUCAGGAGCCCGGCCGCCAGCAUGAGCGCCUCCGGCCUGUUUCUGGCCUUCUGCUGGGAAACCAGCCACUCCACCACCGUGGCACCUGCGCAGCAUGGAUGGGAGAGAGAGGGCUGUUAGGACCGUGUUAAUGAGCAGAGAGAGAGGCAGCGCAGCCGCACCGGUGAAGCAGUGGUUGAAGAUGCGGCUGUCCUGCUCCAGCUUCAACUCUCUCACGCCGUCAUCCUGGUCCUUCAUCAGCGUGUACAGCUCCCUGGGAAACACAAUGCAAAAGCUGUAUGACCCAGCUGAUGUGACAUGUACAGUAAUCGUCUCUUCCGCUCUUCUUGUGUUUUUUCUUCCUCUGAGAGGAUGCUGAGGGGCCUACGUCAGGUUGACUUUGUCCGGCAGGCGGAUGGAGCGCCUCGUGGACUUCCUGGCGAACCGUUUCCCCCCCUGCAGGCAGCUGAUGGCUCGCUUGAUGUCCUUCACCCACACCUCCCUCUCCUCCACAUGCGAGGCUUGGAAGAAAUGGUCCUGCUUCUUCGCUGUGGUGAUCUUAAAAACGAGCUAAGAGGAGCAUCACCAGUCAGGAUUUGAUUGUUCUGUGUAUGAAAAUGCGACGCGAACGGGCGCUCCUGUAUAAUUCACUGUGUUAAUGUGUUAAUGGAAGUGACUCCCGCUCACCGUCCUCUUGCCAAAGUCCUGGCAGGGGCUGGUGAGCGUGGCUCCCUUCAGGGGGAUCAUGCCUUUGGGGGAGCUGUCGGUUUUCUUCUUGUAGAACUCCACCCCGUCCUCCGACAGCACCACCCACACCGCCUUCCAGGAGUUCAGCAACGUGCCCUGGAUCAACAGCGGGUGGGAACAGAUCCUGUGGUUUGUGAACGUGUGAAAAAUGUGAAAAAUGGAAAGCUUGGGUGACACGUGUGAACCUCACAAUGAGGCAGAGGAACUGAGACGACUAUUUAAACCUCUGGUAACGUGUAUGGGAAGGAGGACUCCAGGCCGAGCAUUUCCAAUAAGCAUUAAAAUAGCUCAAAUAAUUUCAGUUUUGGUUUUGAACAUAUGCUGUGGAGGCUCCUCACUAACAGGAACAGAAACUACUUAUUUAACCACUUUCUUGUUUUUGUUUUCUUUUAAACAGGAAACACGUCAAAGUCGGGAUGAACUGCUUAAACAGUUCUGACGUCUUCUACUGAAUAUAUGAAUGAUAUACAGUAAAUGACUAAGAGGACCGUUCAUGCUUGUCUGUGCUUUCCUGUCAGACACUUCAUUACAGAUAUGACCAUAUUUGGGCACGGAAAACAUUGACUCACUUUUAAUGAACCGCCUGCAUCACACGUCUGGCUGCAAAGCUCUGAGACAUCACCUCUGUGCAUUCAUACACAGUUAUCACACCCUUCAGACAACCACGGUUUACAGGUUCAAACAGAGCGCACGCAGCACAUGCAAAUAGAGAAACGCUGUGUUCUUGAGAAAAGGCGUGAAACCGUCCCUUUGGUUUCUUAAAGCUACAGUUCACAGGGGCAGGAUGAGGAACACGCUGUCAAGAAUGUUUCAACACAAUCCACCGACAAAAGAGAAAUGAAUGAAACUGAAACAAAGAACCUAAUAUCUUCUGUUCGACUGCAUUGUGUGAUUACAUCACGUUUCAUUGUGCUGUUUGUCUCAGGCAUCAUCUUUGUGCGCACGCGAGUCGACGCGUGUGGACUUGGACGUGUUCAUUUGCGAGUCGAGGGAUUUCUGGCUGUGUCGGUGGCGUUCGGCGGAUUGUUUUGUCGCGACCAAUGAUGCUGUGAGUUGUUUUGAUGCAGAUUAAAGGCUCACACACACCCUGCGAAACAUGUUCCACGUUUGAGUCCUAAACAGAAGCAGGAACUUGACUUUUGGCUGCAGUUGAAGUCAGAACACAAGCUUUUAAGCUAAACACCUGUUUACUUCGACUGUCAGUUAAAGUCUAAAAUCACCUGUCAGUCAUCUGUCAAUCAUCUGUUUCUUUUUAUCUGCUCAUGCUCUACAAAUCUAAAGCCUGUAUUUAUGGUCUUCUUCUUAACAUUAUUGUGCCAGCACUUACCUUUUUGACCAGGUACCCCUCUCUGAUCUGCUCUGGCUCCAUGACUCCGCUUCCCGCUGUCGUCAGCUACAGCACUAGCUGCUUUUACUGAGUGUCAGAAGCGUUUUAUACUCAGUCCUCCUCCACCGUCAGUUUCUGUGUGGAAACCACACACUCAUACAGACAAGCAGGAAGUCGUGUUGGGUGUGAGAGCAUAGUGGCCGGUCAACCAGCUUCCUCUUCUUUGCGGUAGCACUAGCCAUUUUGGUGCCCCCCCCCCCUCCCCUUGCACAAGUUUAUUUACACUUAGUUUCGUUUUUUACUCUUUAUCAUUUUUUGAUGUUGUUAACAUACUUCAAGUCAAGGCACUUACAAUUGAUCCCAUACUCAGAAGCUGCUGUAACAAACCUCCUUUUAAGUUUAUACACUUUUUUAAGUUCAUAUAAUCAGACUGUGUUUUUCUAAUUGUUUUAAAAACAGUAUUGUUUUUUUGUGAUUUGUAAUUUUCUUUCAUACGUUUUAAUAUAAUAUUUUAUUUACAUUACAUCACAUUACAUAAUUACAUUAUUGUUAUGAUUUAACUAUUCUGUAGAAUGACUAUUACUUCAGCUAUAAAUAUUACAGUUAUGAGACACAGCUCCUAAUUUUUUAAUUUUAUAUCCAUUGCUCUAUUUUUAGCUGCAGUAUGAUGAUGAGUGUCUAUGUGUGUGUGUGUGUGUGUGUGUGUGUGUGUGUGUGUGUGUGUGUGUGUGUGUGUGUGUGUGUGUGUGUGUGUGUGUGUGCGUGACAGUAACUGAGGGACAGUCUUGUGUCUUUUUGGAAAAAGAAAGGUUCCUCUUUUUGCUACUGCCUCAUUGAGACGUAGGGAGCGAGACGACUGGGAAACAGCCUCUUAAAAGGUUCUGCCUAAAACAGUCUGCUGUCUAAGUCAUAAAUAUUAAUAUUACCAGUUUAUCGUACAUGAGACUUUUCACUAAUGGCUUUUGUAAUCAGAAAUGACACACAGACUGUCAUGUAACUCGCCCUGUGAUGGAAUUAACUCAUUGCUUGUGACAAUAUUUGACAACACACACUUCCACACACUCUACUCACUGUUUGACAUAAAACGAGGUUUUUAUAUCUGAGGUUGUCUGCUUCCGGUAUCAGCUGUUUUUUUUGGACUGUGGCUGAACUGCUGCCUUUAAUAUUGUAUCAUACUUGAUAAAAUAGAGCAUUGUG